rfam:Hordeum vulgare subsp. vulgare, WGS project CAJW01000000 data, contig: morex_contig_8852
AAUGUACUUCCUCCAUCCAGAAAUACUUGUCAUAGGAAUGGAUGUAUCUANNUGUAUUUUAGUUCUAGAUACAUCCAAAUUUUAUCAAUUUGUGCAACAAGUAAUUCUGGACGGAGGGAAUACUAA